GGCUCUUGAGGACUCUGCUGAACGGACCCUCGGGAUCACCCACCCCCUGCUGUGGCACACGCAGGUUAUUUCCAGCCUUCUGCAAAGCCGAGCAGUGCUGUGAGGACAUCCCUUUGCACGGCGGUGCGUGGAGAGUAAAUCCUCCAAGGGCUCUGCGAGGUCCCACAGCUGAGACCAGAUGAGGAAGAUAAGGCCAACGAGGACAGCACGCUCGGGAGGUGAACUCACAGGCCCACAAGGCCCUGCAGCUGGCAGGGGGCCAAGGUUCUCUGACCAGGCAUGAAGCCCGAAGAACGAGCCAGCCAAGGGCUUGGCAUGAAGGCACUUUGGGAGGCCUACCUGUCAGCCGUACCCCAGGCUUACCCCUACCAUCCUCUGCCCAAAAGCCAAGCAGUCCUCUUCGAUCCUGACUUUUCCAACCCACGGCAAGUCCCGUCCACCUUACCUCCAGCCACUUGGCCGCCGCCACCCACGCCCAAGCUGCUCGCCUCUCGCUUGGACAGCCACCCUGCCUCGCUGGGGUCACCUCCUGACCCCUCAGCCUUGGCCUCUAAAAUCCGUUCUCCACUCAUCGGCACGACGGUGCCGCACCAUCUUUCUGAGGCCCCACCCACACCCCACCCGCCUUCUUGGCCUCCACCAGAUUCUGUCAGCUAUUCAAGCUUUUUAAAGAAACUGAGCACAGCAGCUUUGGCAUCAGGCUAUGAAGAGAUGAACUGA
rnacentral:lncRNA from 1 species